AAGCUCGUAGUUGAAUUUCGGGAUCUAUGGGUUGGUCAUGCCCUCGGUAUGUACUGAUUUCAUUGGUUCUCACCUUCUAAGGAACCAUGAUGUCAUUUAUUUGGUGUUGUGGGAAAUUAGGACUGUUACCUUGAAAAAAUUAGAGUGUUUAAAGCAGGCUAACGCUUGAAUACAUUAGCAUGGAAUAAUGAAAUAGGACAUCCGAUUCUAUUUUGUUGGUUUCUAGGAUCGAUGUAAUGAUUAAUAGGGAUAGUUGGGGGCAUUAGUAUUCAAUUGUCAGAGGUGAAAUUCUUGGACUUAUUGAAGACUAACUACUGCGAAAGCAUUUGCCAAGGAUGUUUUCAUUAAUCAAGAACGAAAGUUAGGGGAUCGAUGACGAUCAGAUACCGUCGUAGUCUUAACCAUAAACUAUGCCGACUAGGGAUCGGAUGAUGUUAAUUUUUUAAUGACUCAUUCGGCGCCUUACGGGAAACCAAAGUGUUUGGGUUCCGGGGGGAGUAUGGUCGCAAGGCUGAAACUUAAAGGAAUUGACGGAAGGGCACCACCAGGGGUGGAGCCUGCGGCUUAAUUUGACUCAACACGGGGGAAA
rnacentral:rRNA from 1 species